rnacentral:lncRNA from 1 species
CCAUUGUCCCCAAACCAAUAAAAGAGGAUCAAAUAUGGCUUAUUUAACUUUGCAGAGAAAAGGACAGGAUGCUUGGCUAGAGACAUCAUGCAAGACAUGGGCCAGCACCACAUCUUUGCCCUCUGCAUUCCGAAAGGUGGCUACACGUUCUUCGAUGGAUCACAUCAAAGCCCUAAAUCAGAACACAGAUCAGUCUGUCCCAAUCACAGUGGAUUUUGUAAGACUACAAAGUUACUGUAUUAAUCCUAUGGUGUAGAAUAUCCUGGUGGUGGAGGAUAUAAUUGAAACUGGUAGAACAAUACAAAUGCUGCUUUCAGAAAUAAAGGACUACAAACCACAAAUGGUUAAGGUGGU